rnacentral:misc_RNA from 1 species
UUCCCCCUAUUGAAGCCUUCCGCAGCGACUUGAUAAAGAACUGCGUAGCCUGCUUUGCAGACCACACCACGAAAGUGCUAGGACUUGAUCAACUUCGAGUAUCAGCAGCCUAGAGUUCUAGGUCCACAGAUCAUAUAGUGGUGGUCAUUUAUGAUUGAGAUAUGACCGGUCUUAACUAAUUCUAGUUAAGAAUCAACGUUCCGUAGGUGAACCUGCGGAAGGAUCAUUAUUGAAAAGGGAGCCCUUCGGGGUUCAACCUUAAACCCUUUGUCUUAAUUAUCUGUUUCUUUGGCGGGCUCGCCCGUCAGAAAUUUUCUCAAACCCAUUAUAAAUGUGUCAUCUGGAUAACAAAAUAAAUCAAAACUUUCAACAACGGAUCUCUUGGUUCUG